GUGCCCUUAGCUCAGUCGGAUAGAGCAUCGGCCUUCUAAGCCGGCGGUCGCAGGUUCGAAUCCUGCAGGGCACGCCA
rnacentral:tRNA from 1 species